rfam:Pseudomonas putida CSV86 contig00045, whole genome shotgun sequence.
UGCUAUGGCGGCUGUGCGCGGGAGGCAUUCGUGCCUGCUGGGUUUUGCCUUUUUGUCCCAGUCGACCAACCUGCGUACAGUCGUCACCAAC